UAACCAAAAAUAUCAUAACACACAAAAAGCAUAUUUCAUUUUAAUCACAGAGUAAUAUAAUCAUAUAACAUGUUUCAUCACAACAUUAAUAUUAUAACCACACCAUACAUGAACCAAUGUCGUUUUCUUAUACUCUGUCGUCAUGACCUGUUAUCACUAACAGGUACCUGUUUCCUCAAUAGGGCAAUUCGAGUCGUCUUCCAUCGCAACUUCUAACAUAUUUCCUCGACUUAUCGAAAAGCCCUUUGGGCGAGACAUCCACCUCCCCG
rnacentral:lncRNA from 1 species